AGAGUUUGAUCCUGGCUCAGGACGAACGCUGGCGGCGUGCUUAACACAUGCAAGUCACGGGGGCCCGCAAGGGCAACCGGCGAACGGGUGCGUAACACGUGAGCAACCUGCCUUUGUGUGGGGGAUAGCCGGGCUAACGCCCGGGNUAAUACCGCAUACGGUCACCGGGAGGAGUCUCCUGGUGAAGAAACCUCCGGGGCACAAAGAGGGGCUCGCGGCCUAUCAGCUAGUUGGCGGGGUAAUGGCCCACCAAGGCGACGACGGGUAGCUGGUCUGAGAGGAUGGCCAGCCACAUUGGGACUGAGACACGGCCCAGACUCCUACGGGAGGCAGCAGUGGGGAAUCUUGCACAAUGGGGGCAACCCUGAUGCAGCGACGCCGCGUGGAGGAUGAAGGAUCUAGGUCUGUAAACUCCUUUUUCACGGAAAGACUUAGGACGGUACCGUGAGAAUAAGCUCCGGCUAACUACGUGCCAGCAGCCGCGGUAAGACGUAGGGAGCAAGCGUUGUCCGGAUUUACUGGGCGUAAAGGGCGCGUGGGCGGUCUGUUAAGUGAGUACUGAAAUCUCCAGGGCUUAACCCGGAAACUGGUUCUCAUACUGGCAGACUGGAGGAAGGCAGAGGUAACUGGAAUUCCUGGNUGUAGCGGUGAAAUGCGUUGAUAUCAGGAGGAACUCCAAUGGCGAAGGCA
rnacentral:rRNA from 1 species